UCUUCUUCAAUUUUAUCAAUGUGUUACAGUUUUCAGAGUACAGGUCUUUCGCUUCCUUGGUUAAAUUUAUUUCUAGGUAUUUUAUUUUUUGAUGUAAUUGUGAAUGGGACUGUUUUCUUAAUUUCUCUGAUAGUUUAUUAUUAUAUAGAAACACAACAGAUUUCUGUAUAUUAAGUGUGUAUUCUGCAACUUUACUGAAUUUAUUAGUCAUUUAUCCUUUUUUUUUUUAAGAUCUUAUUUAUUUACUUGAGAGACAGAGAGAGAGCACAAGUGGAGGAGGGGCAGAGGCAGAAGGACAAGCAGACUCCCCGCUGGGCACGGAGCCAGACACAGGGCUUGAUCCCAAGACCCCGAGAACACUACCAGAGCUGAAGUUAGACGUUUAACCGACUGAGCCAUCCAGGUAUCUCAGACCCUAGGGAGGAGGAAAGAGUUCCAAGGGCAUAACCAGUGUCCCUUACCAGGAAGGUGAGGAACAGAGCAAGCACCAGCUUAUAAAAAUCUGCUUUUCAGACUUGUAGUUGGGCAUUUUUAUGUAUCACCUCCUUUUGCUCUGUGCAACAAUCCUGUAAGGAAAAUACUUAGGCCUUUUUGCAAGUGAAGAAAGUGUGGCGGGAAAUCACCUAAUGUCCAAUAAUAGUAGCAUGGAUACUUAAAUGUGGUAUAUUCAUUAAGAUGGAAUACUAAAUAGCAGUUACAAAUGAAGGAAUUCAGCUCAGUGCAUCAAUAUGGAUGACAAUGUUGAGUAGAUAAUUCUGAGUAAAAAAGCAAGACACAAAACAAAAUACAUGAGAAAUUCUGAAGGAAAGUUAUUUCCAAACUUUCAUUUGAUACACAGCCAAAUGAUGAAUUGUGAACACAAAAUGAAGACACUUCUAGACAUGCAAGAAACCAAAAGUAUUAUUUCCCAUCAACUCUUUCUCAGGAAGUUGUUGGGAAAGGUUUUCCACUAAAAUGAGUAGAAAGCCCGAGAAAGGGAAGUUCAUGGGAUCUAGAAUGCAGGUUUCCAACAGAGGAGGGUGGUGAAGGGGAUUCCCCAGGAUGGAGGUGAGGAGAGAUGCCCGCGUAACAGCUGCACAACAGAGCUCCGGAGCAUCCAGUGCAGGCUAGAGAAGUCAGAAGAUUUGGAAAGACGAUAUGGUGUCAGCAAGAUGAAAUGAAAGAACAUCUAAUAUAUUUGAACAUACUGGGAGGAUAUUUACCCACUUAAGGUGGUGAAGAAAAAUAAUAAGGACAUAGGAAAGUAAAUGUACAAACAACUAACAAUAACUGAUUAAUCUCCAGAAAAGCAAAACGUUGUGCAAGAAAGGAAAAGUAAUCACCAUAUACUACAUAGGCCUGUGGUCAACAGGGUUUACAGUCUUAAUAUGUAAACAUUCAAUAUUGAUCAACUCAUAAUUAUUGAUAUAACCAUAUCAGAAGGACCCAGGGAGUGGGUGGAAGAGGAAGAGAGAGAGAGUGUGUGUGUGUUUGCAUGCCCUGAUUUCCAUCUCUCUUUCCCAGUUUUGUUUUUUUUUUUUUUUGUAUUUAUUUAUUUGACAGAGAGAGACACAGCGAGAGAGGGAACACAAGCAGGGGGAGUGGGAGAGGGAGAAGCAGGCUUCUCUCUGAGCAGGGAGCCCGAUGCGGGGCUCAAUCCCAGGACCCGGGAUCAUGACCAGAGCUGAAGGCAGAUGCUUAAUGACUGAGCCACCCAGGCGCCCCUCCCAGUUUGUUGUGAAAACUUUGUUUUUCCCUCUGACUGCCCUUUUAUUUUCUUCUUCAAACUAAUGUAUUUCCCAUGCUUUCAAUAAUGCACAUGUAUUAGUUUUUAUAUUCAAAAAGAGAAAAAACCAACACAGCUUAUUACAAAGAAAAGGUCAGGAAUGAUGUCUCCAAGCAUCCUCAGCUCCCAUUCUUAAUGCACUAUGGACUUAGCAUCUGUAAAUUUUUCUAAAUGUUAUUUGAACCUAUGUACAGUUUCAGCAUGUACCACUGCUCGGGCAUAAUGAAUUUCAUAAGAUUACCAUGCUAUGCAAGGAAUUCUUUUAUAGAAUCAUAGAAUCCUACCUUUUCAUUUACCAUCUUUCAAAUCCAAGGGGUUCCCUACAGUCAAGGGUUUUGUAAGGUGUGUUUAGGACAGUGUGGCUGAGGUAAGGUCUGUGAAGGGAACAGAGGCUAGAGGCCUGGGGUGCUUUGAAGUUAGUGGAGGCAGAGGAGCUGGUGAAAAAACCAGGAAGAGAAGAUGAAGACCCACCUCCUCUCCCCUACUAAGGACACAAAGGGAAGACAGAUCUGACUGGCAGGCUCCCUGGUGCCUCCUGAAACAUGAAUAUGCAAAUGACUCGCCUGAACCUCUUGUUAAAGUGCAGAUUCUGAUUUGGAGGUCUGAGGUCUACAUUCUUUUCUUUCUUUCUUUUUUUUUUUUUUUCCAGAGAGAGAGAGCAUGUACUCUCAUGAGUGGGAAGGGAGGAGGGGCAGAGGGAGAGAGAGAAAGAAUCUCAAGCAGGCGCCAUGCUCAGCAAGGAGCCUGACCCGAGGCUCCAUCUCUGAGAUCAUGACCUGAGCUGAAAUCAAGAGUCAGACGCUUUUUUUUUUCUUUAAAGAUUUUAUUUAUUUUUCAACAGAGAGAGAGAGAGAGACAGUGAGAGAGGGAACACAAGCAGGGGGAGGGGGAGAGGGAGAAGCAGGCCUCCCGCGGAGCAGGCAGCCCAAUGCGGGGCUCGAUCCCAGGACCCUGGGAUCAUGACCUGAGCCGAAGCAGACACUUAACGACUGAGCCACCCAGGCGCCCCAAGAGUCAGAUGCUUAACCAACUAAGCCACCCAGGCGCUCCUGGGAUCUGCAUUUCUGACAGGCCCCCAGGUGAUGCCAGGCUGCUGGCCCAUGGACAAUGUUUUGAGUGCCUAAGAUGAUCUGCAAGGUCCUCUAAAAACUGACCUGUUUCUUCAGCUUCCUCUCCUCCACCCGCUCCCCACCCCAUUCUAAUGUCUCUGUUGCAGUCAUGCUGAACCACUCAGAGUCCCUAAUGUGCGGGGUGGGGGCUCCUGUCCUUGCACAGGCUGUUCCCUGGGCCUGGAUUCUACCCUCCCCCUGCCCCCCAUGAUUGCUACUUUCCUGAGACCCAGCUCGUGUGUGUCCUCUUCUGUGAGACAUCACCACCCACUCUUCUUCAGAAAGAGUAUUUCUCUCCCUCUACCUAGAUGUGUGUCUAUUACUGCCUUUCUCAUACAAGAUUGCAAUUUUUUAUUUACUCUGAACUUACUGAAGGAAGUGACCCUGUCCUGUCUUUUGUAUCCCCAGCAUCUGGUACAGUGCUGGCAGCUACAUAAAUGCCACCUAACAGAAUUAAUGCUUGUUUUAUAAAGAAGGAAUAGAUUCUCAACAAUGUAGUUUUACAUUUUUUUGUUUUACAAAGAGGACCAAAAAAAAAAAAAAAAAAAAAAAGACUGGGAAAGGAUACUCAAUGCACGAAGUAGGUGAUACUUGGUAACUGUCAAUACUGCCAGUUUCCUUCCCAUCUGCCUUCCCUUUCUCCUUUCCUUCUUUCCAAUCAUCCUUCCCUCUUUCCCUCUUUUUUCUGUUGAUUCUUUGAAUUUUUUAUUAUUUAUUUUUUUUAAAAGAUUUUAUUUAUUUGACACACAGAGAGAGAAAGGGCACAAGCAGGGGGAGCGGCAGAGGGAGAGGGAGAAGCAGGCUCCCCACCGAACAGAGAGCCUGACAUGGUGCCCCAUCCCAGGACCCCAGGAUCAUGACCUGAGCUGAAGGCAGAUGCUUAAUUGACUGAGCCACCCAGGUGCCCCCUUUUUAUUUUUUUUUAAAGAUUUUAUUUAUUCAUUUGAGACAGAGAGAGAGAGAGAGCAUGAG